UACGUAGGGGGCAAGCGUUGUCCGGAAUCAUUGGGCGUAAAGAGCGUGUAGGCGGCCCGAUAAGUCCGCUGUGAAAAGUCCAGGGCUCAACCCUGGAAUGCCAGUGGAAACUGUCGGGCUAGAGUCCGGAAGAGGCGAGUGGAAUUCCUGGUGUAGCGGUGAAAUGCGCAGAUAUCAGGAGGAACACCAAUGGCGAAGGCAGCUCGCUGGGACGGUACUGACGCUGAGACGCGAAAGCGUGGGGAGCAAACAGG
rnacentral:rRNA from 1 species